rnacentral:rRNA from 1 species
AUUGAACGCUGGCGGCAUGCUUUACACAUGCAAGUCGAACGGUAACAGGGAGCUUGCUCCGCUGACGAGUGGCGAACGGGUGAGUAACGCAUCGGAACGUACCCAGUCGUGGGGGAUAACGUAGCGAGAGUUACGCUAAUACCGCAUACGUCCUGAGGGAGAAAGCGGGGGACCGUAAGGCCUCGCGCGAUUGGAGCGGCCGAUGUCGGAUUAGCUAGUUGGUAGGGUAAAGGCCUACCAAGGCGACGAUCCGUAGCGGGUCUGAGAGGAUGAUCCGCCACACUGGGACUGAGACACGGCCCAGACUCCUACGGGAGGCAGCAGUGGGGAAUAUUGCACAAUGGGCGGAAAGACCUGAUGCAGCAAUGCCGCGUGUGUGAAGAAGGCCUGCGGGUUGGUAAAGACACUUCG